rnacentral:rRNA from 1 species
CCUACGGGAGGCAGCAGUGGGGAAUAUUGGGCAAUGGAGGCAACUCUGACCCAGCAACGCCGCGUGAAUGAUGAAGGUCUUCGGAUUGUAAAGCUCUGUGUUGGGGGAUGAACACAAUGACGGUACCCCAAUAGCAAGCCACGGCUAACUACGUGCCAGCAGCCGCGGUAAUACGUCGGUGGCAAGCGUUAUCCGGAAGGACUGGGCGUAAAGGGUGCGUAGGUGGGUUAGUAAGUUGGCGGUGUAAUUCCGGGGCUUAACCUCGGCGCGACCGCCAAAACGGGUAGACGAGAGUGCAGGAGAGGUAAGUGGAAUGCGUGGUGGAGCGGUGGAAUGCGUAGAUAUUGGGAGGAACAUCAGGGGCGAAGGCGGCUUACUGGACUGUAACUGACGCUGAGGCACGAAAGCGUGGGGAGCAAACAGGAUUAGAUACCCCAGUAGUC